rnacentral:rRNA from 1 species
UUGAGCGAUUUACUUCGGUAAAGAGCGGCGGACGGGUGAGUAACGCGUGGGUAACCUACCCUGUACACACGGAUAACAUACCGAAAGGUAUGCUAAUACGGGAUAAUAUAUUUGAGAGGCAUCUCUUAAAUAUCAAAGGUGAGCCAGUACAGGAUGGACCCGCGUCUGAUUAGCGAGUUGGUAAGGUAACGGCUUACCAAGGCGACGAUCAGUAGCCGACCUGGGAGGGUGAUCGGCCACAUUGGAACUGAGACA